CCAUGGUUGGGCUAUUUGAGCAGCUAUCCUUCUGAUGGAGCUCUAGUAAUUUGGCUUCUGGAUCACAAAGUCCUGAACACUUAGGAAUAUCCCACACAGCAAUAGAUGAUGGUGUACACUCAGGUUCACAUAGUGCUCGAUUAUCCUCAUGAUUAACAUUCAUAGCAAGCAUCCAUGCACCAAUUGUAACAUCCUCAUUGCUGAACAUCCGAAAACUGUCAUUUCUAAGAGCAACUAAACUUGCAACAACAUCAGCUGAAAGAGCAUAUAUUGGACCAUAAGCAUGGAGAAAGUACUCCUUCCCAAGCAAAUAGGAGAGUGGUUCAUACCAUUUGAGCUUUGGAUCAGUAAAAACAGGCCCUUU
rnacentral:misc_RNA from 1 species